UCCUGGUGAUUCAGAGGGUAAAGAAUCUGCCUGCAGUACAGGAGACCUGGGUUCGAUUCCUGGAUCAGGAA
rfam:TPA: Bos taurus chromosome 12, whole genome shotgun sequence.